CAAACACACACUCAGUUACAGGUAGACAGUCAGACACACAGUUACAAGCAGACAGUGACACACGCUCAUUUACAGGCAGACAGUCACACGCACACACACACACACACAGACACACACCAUUACAGGCAGACAGUCACACACAGUUACAAGUAGACAGUGACACACGCUCAUUUAGAGGCAGACAGUCACACUAACUCACACACACACAGACACACACAGUUACAGGCAGACAG